AAACUGAAGAGUUUGAUCAUGGCUCAGAUUGAACGCUGGCGGCAGGCUUAACACAUGCAAGUCGAGCGGAGCGAGGGUGCUUGCACCUUAGCUUAGCGGCGGACGGGUGAGUAAUGCUUAGGAAUCUGCCUAUUAGUGGGGGACAACAUUCCGAAAGGAAUGCUAAUACCGCAUACGCCCUACGGG
rnacentral:rRNA from 1 species